AUGUCAGCAGCCGCGGUAAUACCAGCUCUCCGAGUGGUAGGGAUGAUUAUUGGGCUUAAAGCGUGCGUAGCCGGCUUGACAAGUCUUCUGUUAAAUCCAGCAACCCAAUUGUUGGACUGCGGGAGAUACUGUCUAGCUAGAGAACGGGAGAAGCCGACGGUACUCUCAGGGUAGGAGUGAAAUCCUAUAAUCCUGGGAGGACCACCAGUGGCGUAGGCUGUCGGCUAGAACGUGUCUGACGGUGAGGAACGAAAGCUUGGGGAGCGAACCGGAUUAGAUACCCGGGUAGUCCAAGCUGUAAACGAUGCGGGCUAGGUGUUGGGGUGGCUACGUGCCACUUCAGUGCCGCAGGGAAACCGUUAAGCCCGCCGCCUGGGGAGUACGGUCGCAAGGCUGAAACUCAAAUGAAUUGACGGGG
rnacentral:rRNA from 1 species